ACCAGACUCCUACGGGAGGCAGCAGUGGGGAAUAUUGGACAAUGGGGGGAACCCUGAUCCAGCGACGCCGCGUGAGUGAAGAAGUAUUUCGGUAUGUAAAGCUCUAUCAGCAGGGAAGAAAGAAAUGACGGUACCUGACUAAGAAGCCCCGGCUAACUACGUGCCAGCAGCCGCGGUAAUACGUAGGGGGCAAGCGUUAUCCGGAUUUAUUGGGUUUAAAGGGUGCGCAGGCGGCGUGUCAAGCAAGCGGUAAAAUAGCGGGGCUCAACCCCGUCGAGCCGUUUGAACUGGCGCGCUUGAGUUCAGGCGAGGUAGGCGGAAUUCGUGGUGUAGCGGUGAAAUGCAUAGAUAUCACGCAGAACUCCGAUUGCGAAGGCAGCAUACCGGCGCCCAACUGACGCUGAAGCACGAAAGCGUGGGUAUCGAACAGGAUUAGAUACCCCAGUAUU
rnacentral:rRNA from 1 species